GCAGCAGCCACGGGAAUACGUAGGGUGCGAGCGUUAAUCGGAAUUACUGGGCGUAAAGCGUGCGCAGGCGGUUUGUUAAGACAGAUGUGAGAUCCCCGGGCUCAACCUGGGAACUGCAUUUGUGACUGGCAAGCUAGAGUGUGGCAGAGGGGGGUGGAAUUCCGCGUGUAGCAGUGAAAUGCGUAGAUAUGCGGAGGAACACCGAUGGCGGAGGCAGCCCCCUGGGCCAACACUGACGCUCAUGCACGAAAGCGUGGGGAGCAAACAGGAUUAGAGACCCGCGUAGUCCCUGUCUCUUAUAC
rnacentral:rRNA from 1 species